rnacentral:lncRNA from 7 species
UUGCAAGAUUUUUUGCACCGUGGAAAAUAAAAUGGACGAGCAGUGAGGAUGGGCAGUCACGAGGGACACAGACAUCUUGCAGAUGAAUUUUUCAGUCUUGCAUUCAGUUUCACGAACCAGUAAUCCUUCAUUUAAAAUGCAUGCAGAAUACACACCACACGCUGCUCAUCAAGCAAGGUGACCCAGGCCCUCUGAAGAUUGAUCCGGCUACAGAUUCACCCAAGUCUUCCAUUGAUGCAGCAAAACUGCCUGAAUUUGAGUGCCAAAUCACGGGGUUUAAGAAGCUUAAGAGCAGGCUGCUUCUGUGAAGUACUGAGCCCUCCUGGAGCUAAGGGGACUUUAAGAAGUGCUCAAUAUCCUUCCAGCUUUGGCUACCUCAUAAUAUGGCCUUUAAUGAGAAGCAACUGGCUUUGUUUUAGAUGCUGACAACUCUGUCUGUGCCCCAAGUAGCGACGAGUCUCACUGAAAGCAUACGAGCCAUCCAGCUGAACCACAGUACCCUGCUCUUGAACUUCAUUUUAAGGGCACAUAAUGUUAAGGGCUUAGCUAUGUGAAUAUGGAGUCCUUCAACACCCGCUCAAGGCAAGGAGAAGUACUCAAUGAAAGAAAUACAUACGGAAGUUGCAGCAACAAGAAUGCCGAAUAUGAAAGAAAUGCAGGAUUGGAUCCUGAGCCUGAUGAACAGGAACAGGAAGGUUCUCUGCAUCUGAGCAUUUUGGAGUGAUGUCACUACACAAAAACAGCUUCAUCAGUGCAAAUCUUCAGGGAGCUCUGACUGCACCACUGUACAGGUAUGAAGACUAGGAAGGAUCUAAGGAAGACACAGGCAUCUGCAUAGAUUAAAAAAAAGAGAUGAAGAUCCUGAUAAGAUCUACGGGGAAUAAGAAAACAGACAAGUCUAUGGCUUCAAAAGCACAGCAGCUUUCUUGUCUCUAUUGCUGCACAGAAAAAUCAAUGCCAGGGCUCUGUCUCCUCCUGUCCUAAAAGGAUGCAAGAAACACAAAGGCAUAACAGCCUAACUAACAGCCAUCUGCUUGGGGGAGCUGUCAGCGGGAUGAUUUGCAAUAUGUGAUGGACUGAAGCAAGCAUGUCCUUCUGGCAGGUGGGGCGGCCAUAGGCUUUUGUUCUUGCCUUGGCUGGGCUCACAACACUACCUUUUUUUGAGCUAGAAGUUGAGCAACUUCUCUCUUCUGAGUGGCUUCUCAGUGGGAACACUGAGUGCCAAAAAAACCAAACACCUGUCUCCAAAGUUGUUAGGAACAUAAGUAUUUUGCAUAUAGCAGCUGAGUCAAACAAGGGAAACUCUUUUGACUUCCUCUCCUCCCCAGCUUUCAUUUGAAAAAAGUGUGUGUGGGGGGAGAGUUUCAACUGCCUCCUAAUUGUUCCUCACUUCCUGUCAAAAGAUCUGAACUAAAUCCCAGGAAACUUGUCAUUCCCUGUCUGAAGCAGAGUUCAGGAGAACAAUAGAUGGCUAAAAUCAAUGGUUCCACAGCAAAGACUUGUUAAAAUGUAAGUUUGCAUUGCUACUCACUAUUGAAUAGCUCUAUUGGAGCUCCUAAUACACUUCCACUGUAAGUUUUGUUGGUGACUUUCAACACACUAAUAUAUCUUUUAGCUUCUCUGAUGGUUGCUAGGAGGAACUAUCUCCUU